AAGAAAAACUCGACCAAUUGCGAAUCUCCGAUGUAUGAGGAAGGAUCUGUCUAACCCAAUCGACAAUGUGGGUCACCAUCUGGAGAGGUCAAAUAGUAGCUGCAAAAAAGGAAAAACUAAUUAACCAACUCAAAGUAAGUAAAAAAAUAAAAACAAAAAUAAAGAUACAUAAAUGAAUACGAGCACAUAAGAAUAGGGUUCUAAGCCUCAGGGAAGCUGGCAGCAGCGGACAUUAUGCCCUCGGUCCUGACAAAGAAAUAGUCAAGCAAGAAAUGCCGAUUAGCCUUGCUAUCCAUCCUCACCACCAAACAUUUCGCCUCGGGGUGGCAAAGAUUCAGCAAUUUUCCUCGAUAGAAAUGAGGGGAGAAGAGAUGGAUCAAGUGGCAUGAUGUUAUGUUGACGCAGCCAAUUCAGCAAAUUCCGUUAACAUAUUGACCACCUUAAAGAUAUAAGGGGCAAGCUGUGUCGGACAUAUGUUUUAGUAGAGGCAUAACACUUCUAUUAACUGCGGCAAAGGGAAUGAACAACCAAUUAUAAAUAAAUAUGCGUAAAAGGCGCAGAAGCUAAGACGAUGAACCUGCACUUUAUCGUCGCACGCAUGGACCAAAUCCACGUGACCAGGUAGGUCGAGUCUAGCAUUGAAUUCGGUUAAUCUCUCAACCUUCAUUGCAGAUUUAAACCUCUAUGUCACCAUUUCCAGCGUCUUGUGGAAUUCGGGUUUAGCAUCGGGAUAUCGAUGUAUCUACAGUAGGAAGGGUUUCCUCCUCAACGAUAGCUCCGUCGUCUACCUCCUAGUCAGGGAAAACAACAUCCAAAGGGAUAGAAUGAUCUUCCAUGUGGUUAUCUGAUGGGAGGUCCAACAUUGUUUGGAAAGAGAUACAGAAGCAAAGAAAGCAACAGAUACGUAAAAGGGUUCUGCGAAUGAGAAGAAGAAGCUUUGCUUAUGAACUAGAAGUAAUGUGGAAAAGUUUCAAAAUAAACAAACCACCCCAUAUUGAGAAGACUUAGAGGCACCAAAAUCGAAACGGCAUGUCAUGAUUAGCACAAAAAUCAAAAUGCCAGAACCAAUCAAAGGUCACACGUGAAUUGAUGCAAUGCAUCGGGAAACGACGUCAUCAUGACGCAUAACGCCAUGACGUCACUAUUUCUCUUGAACCAGAUGACUCCAACAGACUCCCCGAGAAAUUCAAAGAAUUCAAAAUAUGCGGCCCGUAGAGAGCCAAAUUGCCUGAUCAUGACAACAACUACAACCUGUAUAGCUAGCUCGGUAAACUCGACCAUAAACGGAAUCAUCCACUCAUUGACCUUGCCUGCAAGGAUGACCUCGAUAAUCGGAAUGACUAAAUGUAUGGGCCAAAAAUAUUUUGAUAUAGGAAAGCUACGUCAGCACCACGAUAGCAUUCAUCGACCGCAACGUGCUAUCAAUAAGGUCUCAACAAAGUUCUGCUCCAAGCCGAAGUAGCCUCAGAGCGAUGAAGGAUGUGGUCUUAGAGUCAAAAAAGAUCAAGGUUGUGAAGUCAUCGUAGAUCAAGGUCGAGGUAGAGCAUAUUAGAGAGAUUUAUAACUGCUAGUUUUAAGAUAGGAUAAAAAAGAAAAUAUUCUAGUCUGCACUUGUACUAUUAGGAUUUUUUGGAACAUGUUCCCUAUAAAUAGAAAGAGGCACGUGCAUGAAAUAUUCAUUUUGUAAGAAUAAACAUUGACUUUAUUAAGAAAAUCUGACACUAUUGCAAAUAUCCGGCAAACACCUUUACUAAGAUUCUUGACUAGCUUUUCCACUUGAUCCAAGAACAACCCGAAUAUUUCAAGGCUCAUCAAUCAUUCACUAUUGUCAUAGGUUAAUAGAUCUCACCCUUUUUGAGGUGACUCGUAUAUUUUUAUUUAGGAAAAAUACCUUAAACCACUCAUGAACUUGGCUCAGAUAAUUAGUAUCCUCCCUAAAUUAUGUCCGGUCUUAAUUACCCCCCUCAACUUGGCCUUUUGAGGGUCACUACCUCCCUAGACGCUGAUGUGGCAAAAGUGUGAAUGCACUCGCCUGCCACGUAAAUUUUUCCAUUCUAUGUGGCAUUUUUUGAAAAAUAAAUUAGUAUUUUUACCUUUUUAGGAAUAUUACUUUUUAGAUGAUUUUUGUCGAAUAUAAUUUAUAAUAAAACUUGGAUAGAACUACAUUAUUUAGGAUAAAUAUUUUUAUUUGGACAAAAAUAAUAAAGUUUUAGUUAAUAUUUUUUUUAUUUGACAUGAAAAUAAAGAUUUAUACAAUUGAAAUAAAGAGUCAAGGCAUCUAAAACCGUUAUAAGAAAUACACAGUUGAAAUUAAUAGUCAUCGCAUAAAAAGAAGAAAUAAAAAGAGUUUACAAUUGUAUUCUUAAUCUUGCAAUUGUACACUCUUUUUAUUUCUUCUUUUGAUGCAAUGACUAUUUAUUUCUACUAUGUAUUUUUACUUUUAUAGGUAAAAUCUGUAAAAAUAAAAAUAAUAAAAUAAAAAAUUAGAGCACGGUAAUUUAGAUCUGUAUGAAAAUUUAUAGCCAAAUAAUUAAUUUCAAACUAUGUAUUUGUAUAAAUUUUUAGAAGCCUUAACUAUUUAUUUCAAUUGUAUAAAUAUUUAUUUUCAGGUUUAAUUCGAAAAAAGAUUAACUGAAACUUUAUUAUUUUGACCAAAAAAAUAUUUAGCCUAAAUAAUGUAGUUAUAUCUAAUUUUUAUUAUAAAUUGUAUUCCAAAUUUUUUAUCUAAAAACUAACAUUCUUAAAAAGGUAAAAGAAAAUACUUUAUUUUUCGAAAAAAUACCAUAUAUACUGAAAAAUCCACAUGGCAGGUGAGUGCACCAACGCUUUUUGCCACACCAGCGUCUAGGGGGUAAUGACUCUCAAAUGGCCAAGUUGAAGGGGGUAAUUAAGACUGGGCAUAGUUCGGAAAAGAUAUUAAUAAUCUGAGCCAAAUUUAUGGGUGAUUUAAAAUAUUUUACCUUUUAUUUACAUAAAUACCAUCCAUUGUUAUUUAUUACAUUAUCUAAUACUAUCUUCCAUCUUUCGGAUCAUUAUAUAUUGUUAUAUUAUUCAUAUUCAUUACCAUUCAAACAAACAUACAUAUUAUUUGAUGUAGUACUGACAACCUUAUCUUUUGGAUAUUAGCUUAGAUUGACCCUAUUUUACUUAAAUCUAAUUGGUUGAAGCCAAAUUUAAAUUUUUUGGUCAAACAGACAUAAAGACCAUGUUCUUUGAAGUAACUUUCAAUUCGAUUACGAGGAUGCUCGUUAGAAAAGGCUUUUUGCGGAGAAAGAGUAGUGGGACUUCGAGGAAGCAAAAGGGUAGUUUUUGCCAUUCUUUCAUUGGUUUUGGUCGGAAGGAAUUGAAAAGAUGUGCCAAAAUAAGGGAAGUUUUCGUGCAAGAAUGGAUCAAAGGAUUUUGAGAGAGGACGUCUACUAAUAUGGAUAAUAAAGAAAACGGAGGUAGACCUAUGACUGAGAUCUUGUUAUCACUACAAAAAACAGAUACUAUACAGAUGAAAGGAUCAGGAGCCUUAUGAUGGUAAGAAUGAAAUAAUUAACAGUGUAACUAUCAUAGAUUAGUUUCAGAUACAGGAUUUAUCGGUCGUGUGUGUUUCACUGAUUUUAGUUUAAAUUCUAGAUGGCGUCAUAGUGGGUGCUCAUGGUUAAAUAUUAAAGUUUUUAAAUAUUAUUUAUGAAUAUAUUGCAAAAUUUGGCCAAUGUCAAUGGAUGCUUUAACACCCAUAUGUCCAAAGGUGGAUCCGCCACUACACGUGUAAUAACUGAACUUUACUCGUUCUGAUUAGUAAACUUAGUCAUUACAACAAUAACAAUAACAACAACAACAACAACAACAACAACAACAUACCCAGUAUUAGCCACACCAGUAAAUUUAAGUUUAGUCAUUAUAGUAGGUAAAAGUUAGUAAUUUUACCGUUAUUAUGUUACAAUUAUUUUAAUGGGACAAAAAAAAGUUUUUUCACCAAAGUUGAGUUCACUUCACAUGGCAAAAACUAAUUGUAUGACUUUACUGUUAUAGUGACUAUACAAACUAACUCUAAUUUUCAUUAAUGAAGAAACCUAUUGACCAACUUGAAUAUGCUAUUUGGCAGACACUUUUAACUACUGCAAGUAACACUUCAGUACAUACAAUGGAGUGGACAAUGGCUCAUUUGCUAAACAACUCAGAAAAUCCUAAAGAAGCGAAGGGCUGAAAUUGAAAACGUUGUCGGACAACAACAUUUGAUCGAUGAAUCAGAUGUAUCUCAGCUACAUUUCCUCGGAUUAAUCAUCAUGGAGACUCUAUGCAUGCACCCAGUAGUCCCACACUCCCAUUGCUCCUGCCACAUGAAUCAUCCAAAGAUUGCACCCUCGGAUUUUCAUGUCCCCCGAGGUCUGGGACGGAGGUAGAGUGCGGGAUGUGGGUUCGACCGAACCCAAUAGCUUUUGUUCAAAACAUGUAUUUGUCAUAAGAAAUUCAUUGAAUACGUACAACUUAUUAAUUUAGAACUCAGUAACUUAAAAACAUUACAAUUCCAAACCCAUAAGGUUCAAAUCCGAGAAAUACCAUGUUACUAGUGAACACAUGGGCGAUACAGAAUGACCAAAAGAUUUGGGGUUAUCCAAAAGUGUUUAGGCCAGAAAGAUUUGAAGAUCUGGAAAUGGAUAAAGAAAAUGGGAAUCAGUUCAAAUGGUUGCCUUUUGGGCCAGGGAGAAGGGGAAGUCCUGGCGAAAACUUAGCCAUGCGUAUGAUCGCCUUGGCACUGGGAUCACUGUUCAAGUGCUUUGAAGGGAAAGGACCGAUCCUAAGAAAUAAAACCAAAGAUGAGUUCAGGAAGAUUGGUCAAGGUGAUUUUCGUGUCUCUUAUGGUGCAACCUGUUGCAGUGUCUUCACUAAAGCUCUGUGCUGCAAAGUUGUAAGAUUUUCUUCCUAAUCUUAGUUUCCAUGUCUUUCCUUCAGAUUAAUAGAGGGUGAUAGAGUUAAUAUUACAUUUACUGAUUGUUACUUGUUGUAAUCACGGCUAGUUUUUCUAACCAACUAUUCAUACAAUAGUUCAUUGCCCUUUGCUUCAUAUAUGGCAUGCCGUUAUUAUCCUUGGCCACAGAGGCGGGUUAGGAUUUCAAUUUUAUAAGUUCUAGAUUUUAGAACAUUAUUCAAGUGCUAAUAAGAAGUAGAGUCUUCACGUAAUUGGUAAACUUGUUGUCAUGUGACCAGAAGGUCAUGGGUUUGAGCGAUUGAAAUUGCCUCUUGCAGAAAUGCAGGGUAACAGUGCGUAUAAUAGUCCUUUGUGAUCCGCCCCUUCCCCGAGUGUACCAGACUCCCUUUAACUUUAGUGCUGAUAACUGUGUUUUAAAUUUAAUAUUUGUACAUAUUUAAUGAAUUUUCAAACACACAAAAUAUUGUUUAAGCAAAAAAUAAUAAGUUCGACCAAACCCGUAACCGGGUUUCUAGCUCCAACCUUGCUUGGCCAUACCUCUCUAUCUUGUCAAAUUCUUUGGAAGCAAGUAAGAGUUCAACAGACAAGAGGGAUUGCUCUGAUGGUAAGCAAUCCCCACUUCCAACCGAGAGGUUGUGAGUUCGNNNNNNNNNNNNNNNNNNNNNNNNNNNNNNNNNNNNNNNNNNNNNNNNNNNNNNNNNNNNNNNNNNNNNNNNNNNNNNNNNNNNNNNNNNNNNNNNNNNNNNNNNNNNNNNNNNNNNNNNNNNNNNNNNNNNNNNNNNNNNNNNNNNNNNNNNNNNNNNNNNNNNNNNNNNNNNNNNNNNNNNNNNNNNNNNNNNNNNNNNNNNNNNNNNNNNNNNNNNNNNNNNNNNNNNNNNNNNNNNNNNNNNNNNNNNNNNNNNNNNNNNNNNNNNNCCUCUCUACCCUAAGGUAGGGGUAAGGUCUGCGUACACACUACCCUCCCCAGACCCCACUAAGUGGGAUUAUACUGGGUUGUUGUUGUUGUUGUUGUCAAGUAAGAGUUCAACAAUUGGCAGAAAGUCGUGGGCUGAUAUGUUAUAGAACAGGAUACAAAAGGAGUCCAGUAAACAAUGACCACUUCUGGAAAGGAAUGAGGAUACAAAAAAACAACAAAAAACAAACAAAAGGAAAAAGGGAUUUGUUUCGGAUCUUUAUGGAGGAAUGGCCAAAAAUACGGAGAAGAGAACUCAUUUCCACAAAGAGUAACGAUUAUUUUGUAUAGUUGGAAAGGUUGUUACUAAAUUAGUUGAUUUUUUACUUCAAACGGACAGCUGUUGCACAUUGAAGUUUGCGUGUAAUUCUACUUUUAAAAUAUCAUCAAAUAACAUAUGAAGCAAGAGAUAUAAACUUAAAGAGUAACACAUUAAGAGCUCGUUUUUGCAUCAGUUAGUAGUUCCUUGUAAUUCUCCUAUUAAUUUCGUAGACCACUUUGCCUUCCCUUUCUUCGACAUCAAUGAGUUAUAAUUGGGGAUUAUAACCUUAAUUAAAAAAAGGGGGGUGGGGUUUUACUCUACUCUUAUGCAUGCAUAUGACAAAUUUACACUUAAUACUGUAAUGGUCCCUACCAUGUUAUCUCAAGCUAAAUCUAUUUAGGAGUUGUUCAAUCACGUAUGACGCUUUCCGUGAAAUGAAUUAGGUAAAGAAAGUAGAAAAAAGAGAACAAAAGAGAAAUGAAAUAAAUAAUACAGGAAAAAGUUAAGUUCCAUUUGUUUAUCAUAUAGACUAGAUUUAGAUUUCUGCAGUCUCAUAUUAAAUGGAUUACGUUCCUAUCAACCAGUAACAAUACACAAACAAACAAUAAACGUUUAAAGAGGCAAAACGUAAGCUGUAUCACAUGCCAUUACAACGUUGAAAUCAAGAUGCAGAAGCGUGUCGAGUAGCAUGGCAUACGGGUCAAUAAAGUGGACAAAAACUAUAGGAAAUUAAAAGGUUCAAAUUUUAAUAGAGACAAAAAUGCUAGGUGAUUUAGUGUACCAGCCAAUGAAGUGGAUAAAAACAAUAGGAAAUUAAAAGUUCAAACUAUGUUAGAGACAAAAAAAUGCUCAGUGAUUUCUUCUCACUACCUAUGUGAUGGAUAUACUUCCUCUGUUCCACUUUUAAGUAAUUUUAAGCUAUUUUCACACAUAUUAAAGAAUUUACCUUUUAGCAUUAAUUAAUAAUAAAAUUGACCAUAUUAACCUUACUUUGCUCAUUGGAAAUAUAACAAACUACUCUCAAACUCUUUACUCUAAGGGCAACUUUGAAAAGAAGUUAAUCCCUUCUUGAUAUCUCAAAAAUCAAACAUAGCAAGUACUUAAUAAAGUAAUCAAGGUGCGCACAAGUUGUAUCUGGACAUCCUAUGUUGUCUACCCUGGACAAAUGAACCAAAAUUAGAGUACAGCCAGAAAUUGCGUCUUGCCAUUCGUCAUCAUUAAUCCAUUGCCUAAAUGAAAUAAAAGGCCCUCUUUAUGGGAUGUUUACUUUGUUUGUAGUAUUUAAUUCCUUCUUGUUCGUGCACUAUGAUAACCUUUCUUUAAAAAAUCAAUUUCUACAACUAACCUACAUUAUUAGGGAUUAAACAAAUAACUAGACUGCAGAGACUUCUUGUUUAAUUUAGAAAACAAAACCUGGAUUUUAAUAAUAGUAUUCUUGUCUAAGCUGCACAGAUCUUAAUUCAAGCUAAUAAAACUAGACAAUUAUCAGGCUUAAUACUGCAAUACAAUCAUCUUCAUCAUUUCUUUUUAAUAAUCCAUGGACAGUCUUUAUCUGUAUUUCCCAGUUCUGUUCUUUGUUAUCUAUAUCAUCACCCAUCAUUUUCUUCACAAGCUACAAAACCUUCCCCCUAGCCCAUUUCCAGCACUGCCUUUCAUUGGCCACCUCUACUUAUUGGGUAAACCUUUCCACAGAGCCUUAUAUAAAGUCUCAAAUCGUUAUGGUCCAGUAGUCUUUCUUCAGUUUGGCUCUCGGCCUGUCCUCCUUGUUUCAUCACCUUCAGCAGCAGAAGAAUGUUUUACCAAAAAUGAUAUCAUCUUUGCUAAUCGCCCUGAUUUUCUCAGUGGCAAGUAUUUCGGGUAUAAUUUUACCAGCCUCGCCUGGUCCUCCUAUGGAGAGCACUGGAGAAAUCUUCGAAGAAUUUCCUCUCUUGAAGUUCUAUCUUCCUAUAGAAUUCAGACACUAUCAAGCAUCCGUUGUGAUGAAAUAAACUACCUGAUUCGUAGACUCUUUCGAGUCUCCAUAGAAAGUUCGGAAAAUAUUGUAGAGAUGAAAUCAUCUCUUUUUAACUUCACCUUCAAUGUGAUAUCAAGAAUGAUUGCAGGAAAACGGUACUAUGGGGAGAAAGUAGAGAUUUCGAAAGAAGCUAAGCUAUUCCAGGAGAUAUCAAAGGAUACAUUAACCACUGUUCCAAAGGCUAAUAUUUUGGAUUUCUUGCCAUUCAUGAGGUGGUUUGGGUUGCAUAGUGUUGAGGAAAAGAUGAUGGAAGUACAGGAGAAGAGGGAUAACUUUAUGAAAAAGGAAAUAGAAGAGCAUCGUCAGUUAAAGACUAGUGGUUCUUUUCCUUCCGCAGAGGUUGUGGCAGGGAAGAAGAAAACUAUCAUGGAGGUCUUGUUAGAUUUACAGAAAACAGACCCCGAAUACUACACAGAUGAAACAAUUAGAAACUUAAUGUUGGUAAGACUAUCAGAAAUCUAUAUGAUUUCUUUUUUGUAUAUGAAAAUCCACUCAGAUGAUUAUUUUCAGCAUGCUUUUGUUGCAUGUGAAAAAAGUCAUCCUAUCACUGGAAUCUUUAUUCUUGAUGACCAUUCAUUAUUUUGCUGGUGUUAUCUUGAGUUAAUACUAUGAUUAAGUUUCCGAUGGCACUUGACAUAUAUAGGUAUACUGCUGAUAAGUUUCUUAAAAUAUACACAGUAUAGGCAGGUGAUGUUGACUAAUUAAUUCUACUUAUGCCUCAUCUUGGAUGUAGAUCUUGAAAUGAAAGCUAUAUUGGAUCUUUCAAAGUCGUUGGCUCUUUAGAGUGUAUGUGCUCUGUCUAUAUCUACUGUUCCUUUAAAUGUUGUGACUAAAUUAUACAAUUUGUUUUCUUACACAUGCAGGUCCUACUCCAAGCUGGAUCAGACACUUCAGCUGUAACACUAGAAUGGGCUUUUUCACACUUACUUGACAAUCUAGAAAUUUUAGAGAAGGCACAGGCUGAAAUUAACAAUCAUGUUGGACAUGACCGCCUAAUUGAUGAAUCCGAUUUGGCUCAACUACCUUACAUCCGAUGCAUCAUCAACGAGACACUGCGGAUGCAUCCAGCAGCCCCUUUACUUGUGCCUCACUUUUCAUCAGAAGAGUGCAAGGUUGCAGGGUAUCGAGUUCCGCGUGGAACAGUUCUAUUAGUAAAUGCAUGGGGCAUACAUCAUGACCCUAAGGUAUGGGAGGAACCAGAAAAAUUCAAUCCUGAUAGAUUCAUAGGCUUUGAAGGUAUCAAAGAGGGCUGCAAAUUUAUCCCGUUUGGAUCAGGAAGGAGGGGUUGCCCAGGUGAGAACCUAGCAUUUCAUGUCAUUGGAUUGGCACUGGGCUCACUUCUUCAAUGCUUUGAGUGGGAAAAGCCUAACAGGGGGUCCAUCGAUAUGAGUGAAGGUACUGGAUUCACACUUUCACCAAAGGUUCAGCCUCUAUUGGCAAAAUGUUCUCCACGACCAAACAUGGUCAAACUUCUUGCCGAAAUCUGAUCCUAAAUAAGAUACUAAUAAUGUACACCAUUACUUCAGCAUGAAUAACUAAGCAUUCUAAGAUCCAACUUUGUUGCUCUAUCAUUGAAAAUGACAAGUGCGAAAACAGAGAGGAAGAAUGGCAAAUAGCAAAGAAAAGUACCGGCAUAAUUUAUGCAUUCAACUAAGCCCUUGGCCGGUAGGAAUUUGAAUUCAUUCUCCAGCGUCCCACCCUCUCAUGGUAAGCUUGUCUUGAAUUAGGUCAAAUGUCUAGUGAUUUCGUACUCUCAUAGAAAAUGCUCCUUUUAUGGUUCAGGUGUUAGCCACAAUCGCAUUCAUUCAGUAAUUAUAUCCCUUCAUUCUGUGGGACCUCGUUUCUUAAUGUGUUUUGUCCAUAUUCCUGCACAGUCAAAGAAAAAAGUUGUCCCCAAUAUCCUGCCCCUGACCAAAAAAAGUAAAAAGAGCAAAUGAUAUUUUGAAGCAAGAAUAUAGCUCGGCAUAUUGACAAGAGGGGCUUGCUCUGAUGGUAAGCAUCCCCCACUUCCAACCGAGAGGUUGUGAGUUCGAGUCUCCCCAAGAGCAAAGGUGGGUAGUUCUUGGAGGGAAGGAUGCNNNNNNNNNNNNNNNNNNNNNNNNNNNNNNNNNNNNNNNNNNNNNNNNNNNNNNNNNNNNNNNNNNNNNNNNNNNNNNNNNNNNNNNNNNNNNNNNNNNNNNNNNNNNNNNNNNNNNNNNNNNNNNNNNNNNNNNNNNNNNNNNNNNNNNNNNNNNNNNNNNNNNNNNNNNNACAGCCUCUCUACCCCAGGGUAGGGGUAAGGUCUGCGUACAUACUACCCUCCCCAGACCCCACUAAGUGGGAUUAUACUGGGUUGUACUUUUUUUUUUAAUAUAGCUCAGCAUAAGGAAUGCGCCAUAUGGCAUAAGUUCCACGAGGGUAACGGUAAUACUACAAAGUGUUCAGUAGUUAAGUGUUAACAGAGCAUAUUGAUUCUUAGACCUUGAAUUAUCAACCCAGCUUUCUUCAAACAGAUAGUAAACAUAUAUCCACAGCACUCACCAUUAUUACCAGACUAUCGAAAAGCCUCUCUAAUAUCAGGUACCAAUUACCAGACUAUGUUGCUAGAACUCUGAAAAUGUUGCAGGGUGCGUGUCGGAUAUUUUUGGAGGAUCCCACACGGGUACGGCAUCAUCUUGGAAAGUCCGCUCAACAUAGUUAUCAGAAGAGAAUCUGUUAUUUAAACAUUGACUCAUCAAUUAGUUAAGAGGAGCAUAAAUUAGCAAUGCAUCUGGGAGCACAAUUACCAUUUUAUUUUAUUGAUAGGUUUAAGUAUACCAAAAGUAGUAGAAAGCAAUUCAGAUUUGAACUCGUGAAACAAUAAUUUGAACUGUAACUUCUAAGAACUAUACCCUCCGCUUAGAGAUGAUUAGCCGAAAAUUUACCUUAGAAAAACUUCAAGUAACUAUUGUGAGGGAAAGACUUAAUCCGCCAGCUUAAGUUCAACAAUAUUGGUCUUGUUUUACACGAUCGCAGUUCUGAUGAAAGACAUAUCUAUAUUUUAAUCUACGACUGACACAAGUUCAUUGAGUUUAACAGUUCAAAAUCCGAAAAAGAACAUGUAUAAAUGCAAGUGAAAUUGAACUGACUUUGAUAAGAAAGUGAUGGACCUUGUUCAUAUUCCAAUCGUUGGAUUUGGCGAUUGACCAAAACAAACAGAUAUUCGAUGCCGACGGCCGGUUUGGCCAAUGAGUUCUCCGCCCUCCGGCUUCUAUUUGUGUUUCUGAUUCAUUGUCUACCUAUUCGAUUUUCCUUUAUUCUCUUCCGUUUCCUAUUGUUGUUUCCAAAAUCCAAACCGAGAGAUUUAGGGGCCAUUUGGCC
rnacentral:lncRNA from 1 species